rnacentral:lncRNA from 1 species
AUGUUUGACUGCCCCUGCUACAGUGGGCGCACCGGUCGCACGCUAGCGAGCGCAGGAGACGCCACGGCCGCUCUACUGCGAGAAGCACGCACAGAAUCCAACCGAAGUGAACCGUUUCAGCCCCAUUCGCCCACUGUGGCCGGUGUUUACGUCCACAUCCGACCCGUCCACUCGCAGCUCUGCGGCCGCAAGGCACAUUUCAACGUGACUGGACCCGAGGGAGCGACGCCGUGCUGUCGCUGCCUGCAUUGUUUUCAUAAGGAGGGGGAGGAGGACACGUUUGCUUCACUAGUGAAAGCGCUGCUGGUACAGACGAAUGAUCCGCUGAAAGGCUUCACAGUAACAUAUGACAUGCAAAGACCCCAGGAUGUGGAGGUGCAGCACAUUUUAGUCCGUGCUCUCUGGGACCUUUGACCUCUGAAUGUUAUAAUAAGGCACCGUGGGCUGCUCCAUUAGAGCCAGUUAGACGUCACAGUGGCUGGUGGAGGUCAAUGACAGACGCUUUUAUCCUCGACGGUGAUCAUCUGGACAUAAACAGUGAUAGUACCGCGUCCACCAGCGGCAGCGCCUCAUGACGUCAGGGUGCUGAACCACAUCCACAUGUUGCGCUGUGAUGUCGCGGUUUGAAGUGUUGGAUUUCCUCAUGCUCAGAUCUAGUCAGUCAGGUCGCCCAGGUAAUGCCCUGCUUUGCCCAAUAGUACAGACUGUUCCAGUCGCUGUUUGUUGCGGCCAAAGGUUGCAGGAGGUCACCAACAAGAAGCUCAUCUGGGUUUCAGCAGAAAAGAGGGAAAUGAAGGUCUCGUGAUGGUCGACGCGCUCAUUCAGAGGCAGCGAACACGGACUUCUUGUAAUUUGGAGCUAAAAAAAAUAUCUGUUUUUCUGACAUUCCUCCAGGGCUUGAGUCACAACAAAGGGGCCGGACUCCUUACAAAUUAGAACACGAUGUCCAUCUUAUGCAGACACGAGCUUUGAAGUUCUAAAAUUAGCCUAUUAACACUGUUAUUUUGUCCGAAAAGCAUUUCCUUUCCGUCCGUGUGAAACAGAUUAAGAUUAUAUUUUUUUCCAUUAACAGAUUUUGUUUGUGGGAGUUUUCCCGAACGUCACGAGGCGUUUGAUGACCCGUCAAAACCUGUAGAUCAUAAAUCUGAGAAAAGGAGAUGCCUCCUUGAGCGUCUCUCCUCGGGCUGAGUCCGUUAAAAUAAUCACGGACCAGAACGCGGGCACCUGAAAUAAGACGCCGUGCCCAUGUUUUCAUGUCAUAACAGGAAAAGCGCGGCUGUGGAUGACAACGUCCAACCGAGCUGCAUUCCUCGUAGGUCACCUAGUUUCCUGCGGCUGCCAGUCCUGGCUGGCGCAGCUCAGCGAGCCACUUACUGGAACUGAGUCUGUCAACCACACCACCUCCACCUGUGCUGCUCCUGCUACGAGGCCGCGCCUCCCCGACCAGCUCACACCAUGGAAGCUUCAAUUCAAACAGCCCCAAAAUGCUUCGGAUGCUUGACAUAACUUAUGGCGCACGACUUAAAAAGGAUCCAUCUACGGCUAAUUGAAUCCAGACGGGACCACUUCCUGCUUCCUUAGUGCGCGUAUUAAUGGUUGGAAACGAAGCCCGGUACCACUGGGCCUGUCUGGUCCUAGUCAGAACCAGCUGAGAGCAUAAUAUUCACUGCAGCAGAUUUGCUUCGUACUCGCUCAUAUGUUCAUUGAGUCUAUUCCCUCCACACACACACACACACACACACACACACACACACACACACACACACACACACACACACACACACACACACACACACACACACACACACACACACAGACUCUACUUACAGUAUAAGCCUGUCUGUGGUAGUUCCCCUCAGUACAGUGUGCAGUCUGUGGGUUUGAUCAGAGGCGUCCCACCUGGAGGGAGUCUACAAGCAAAAACAUCGCUCCAGACUGAUUUAGAGCCGCUCUCGGCUCCACAGGAAUGAAUGAGCGGCGCUUGAAUGGUGCUCUUCUUCCAGUGAGCCUCCCACCGGCGGGCAGCGCCUGGAGUGUGAAGGCGCAUAAUGACCCUGUGGGAUGAGAGUCUUACAUGUACGUCUGUAAAAAUGUCAACACACUGAAUAAUAAGGCGGGUGACUAAUACCUUAACGUGUGUGCUUCAAAUGAUGUUCAGUGAAAAGUUAGUAUUAACAUGUGCUUCAUCAGAUGAUGAAUCCUCACAGCUGACGUUUACACAAAUAACUUUUUGAAUGAAGCCAUAGAUUGUUUGUUGUUCUUUGAUAUGUUUAUUUAAUAAAUUAAUAUUGUUUAUUUAUAAUAUUACA